UACGAAGGGGGCUAGCGUUGCUCGGAAUCACUGGGCGUAAAGCGCACGUAGGCGGACUCUUAAGUCGGUGGUGAAAGCCCGGAGCUCAACUCCGGGUCGGCCGUCGAUACUUCCGGGCUUGAGCACUGUAGAGGCAGAUGGAAUUCCGGGUGUAGCGGUGGAAUGCGUAGAGAUCCGGAAGAACACCGGUGGCGAAGGCGGUCUGCUGGGCAGUUGCUGACGCUGAUGCGCGACAGCGUGGGGAGCAAACAGG
rnacentral:rRNA from 1 species